rnacentral:rRNA from 1 species
AUGCAGUUCGAACGCGAAAGUUCCCCUCGGGGAGCGAGUAGAGUGGCGCACGGCCNGAUUAACACGUAGGUAAUUUGCCUUUGGGUGGGGAAUAACUCAGGGAAACUUGAGCUAAUACCGCAUAAUGCAGCGGCUCGACAUCGAGACAGUUGUUAAAGCGGGGGAUUGGAGCAAUCCGACCUCGCGCCUGAAGAGAAGCCUGCGGCAGAUUAGCUAGUUGGUAAGGUAAUGGCUUACCAAGGCGACGAUCUGUAACCGGCCUGAGAGGGCGGUCGGUCACACUGACACUGACAUACGGGUCAGACUCCUACGGGAGGCAGCAGUCGGGAAUUUUGGGCAAUGGGCGAAAGCCUGACCCAGCAACGCCGCGUGAAGGAUGAAAUUUUUCGGAAUGUAACCUUCGCAAGAAUGGGAAGAAUAAGUGGGGGACAAUACCCCCCAUGAUGACGGUACCAUUUGUAAGCUCCGGCUAACUUCGUGCCAGCAGCCGCGGUAAUACGAGGGGAGCAAGCGUUGUUCGGAUUUACUGGGCGUAAAGGGCGCGUAGGCGGCUCUACAAGUCACUUGUGAAAUCUCCGGGCUUAACUCGGAACGGUCAAGUGAUACUGUCGAGCUAGAGUGCAGAAGGGGCAAUUGGAAUUCUCGGUGUAGCGGUGAAAUGCGUAGAUAUCGAGAGGAACACCAGAGGCGAAGGCGGAUUGCUGGGCUGACACUGACGCUGAGGCGCGAAAGCUAGGGGAGCGNACGGNAUUAGAUNCCCCCGGUAGUCCUAGCCNUUAAACGAUGAAUUGCUUGGUGUCUCGGGNUACAUAGUCCCGGGGUGCCGUU